rnacentral:rRNA from 1 species
CAUGCAAGUCGACGCCCUAGCAUAGGGAGUGGCGCACGGGUGAGUAACGCGUGGGAAUGUACCAUUUGGUGGGGAAUAACUUCGGGAAACUGAAGCUAAUACCGCAUACGCCCGAGAGGGGAAAGAUUUAUCGCCGAAUGAUCAGCCCGCGUGAGAUUAGGUAGUUGGUGGGGUAAUGGCCUACCAAGCCUACGAUCUCUAGCUGGUCUGAGAGGAUGAUCAGCCACACUGGAACUGAGACACGGUCCAGACUCCUACGGGAGGCAGCAGUGGGGAAUAUUGGGCAAUGGAGGAAACUCUGACCCAGCCAUGCCGCGUGAAUGAUGAAGGCUUUAGGGUUGUAAAGUUCUUUCGCCGAUGAAGAUAAUGACGGUAGUCGGAGAAGAAGCCCCGGCUAACUUCGUGCCAGCAGCCGCGGUAAUACGAAGGGGGCUAGCGUUGUUCGGAAUUACUGGGCGUAAAGCGAGCGUAGGUUGCUCGACAAGUCAGUGGUGAAAGCCCAUAGCUCAACUCUGGAACUGCCAUUGAAACUGUCGAGCUGGAAUCUCACAGGGGAUAGCGGAAUUCCAAAUGUAGUGUGUGAAAUCCGUACAUAUUUGG